rnacentral:lncRNA from 1 species
CUCGCAGUUGGAUCCGCCGGGCUAAAAUUCCGGGGUGGGCGCGCUGCACCCUGGGACAUGUGGUUCUCCGAGGGGCACGGGCGGUUCCUGCGAUCUGGCUUUCCCUGGCGUCUUGCACCAGCCCUCCCUUUGUGGGUUGCAUAGUUCCCAGGAACCUGUCAGCUCUUUAGCCUUUUUCCUGCAAAUACAUUUCCGUGAGUGCCGGCUAGAUGAGGCUCACAUGGCCUCAGGUCAGUGCUGCACGCCUUAAGGAAUAGUAGUCCCUAAAUGCAUACUCUUUUGGAGUUGUCCUCUGCCCUCACCGAGAUUGCAAAACGUUAAAGGCAAAAAUGAAUCGAGCCUUUGACGGCAGUGUGCUGAGAGUUUUCCUUGUAAUCGCUCAUGUACUCUUGGCAACUUUAAUUGCAGCUGAGCUGCCUUUCUGGAAAGUUUCUUCCUUGAUUUCUAUCACCUUGCAUCAUCUGCUUUCCUCUCAGACGGACCAUUCAGGUAAACAAGCCCUUCCAUGGAGUGAAUGGAAAGAUAAUGCUUCUCUUUACUUCAGUGUCCCUCCUUCUGCCUGAAAAAGCAAUUAUUCUGGAAGCAUGUCCGUGUCAAUUGGAUUACGUUACCUGGGAGGUGGGCUAAAAACAUCAUCUGGCUAAAAUGUUUGCAGAAAUACCAUCAACCCGCUGCCAUUGUGGAUCGUUAGCUUGCGAUCAACCCAAUGACUUUCCACUUGCAAUCCUUUUAUAUUUAUAAAGAUUCCAUAAACACCGUAUUGUGUCAUUUUAAUACUAACAAUUCAACCUCCCCCCCCCAAAAGUAGUAAAAGCCUUUUUUUCCUAAGUUAAAAUUACAAAGUCCCUAUGUCUUUGAAGGAGAUANACCCCCCCCCCCCCCAAAGUAGUAAAAGCCUGUUUUUUCUAAGUUAAAAUUAAAAAGUCCCUAUGUCUUUGAAGGAGAGAGUCUCAUAUAGUAUAAAGAUGGUAAAAAAUAAAAGUCUUGAUCAUAGUUCACAUGAUAGUGAGGAUGACGCCAACCCUUUCAUUAGUUAUGGUAUAAGCCCAGAGGCUGUGAGAAAGAGAUCCCAAAUACAGUGACUUACACAAGAGAGAAAGUUGUUUCUCUCCCAGUCUCCCAAGUAAUAUUCACAAGCAGGUGGGUGAUUCAGUCCCAAUGAACAAUUCUACUCCACGAAGUCACUCAGGAACUCAGAUUGCUAUUCUGUCCCCUGAUAGGCAUCUCUAUGUUAGAAGGUGGUUCACUAGCACCACAUAAACAUUCUAGCUGCCAUGAAGGGUAGAGAGAUGGAGGAGAGAAAGUAGUUUCCUUCAUAAAGAAUGGACAAGGAAGCUGUAUGCAUCACUUAAUGCUCACAUCUCAUUGGAAAGGAGUUAUUCAGCUUGUUACACCAAGCUGCAAGGAAGGCUGAGAUUUUUUGCCUUUAAUUGGGCAGCCAUGUGCCCAGCUUAAACUCAGAAGAUCCUAUUACUAGAAAGGAGAAGAGGAUAACAAAUAGAGUGCCAAUUUGGCACUUGGCAGUCUGUACCAAACUCCUGUUUGGGUGUUUUUACAGUCAUGAUGAUACUUAUAGUGAAGAUGCAAGUACGAGUUUUUCAGUUUGUUUGUUUUAUGGCCACAUCCAUGGCAUGUGGAAGUAUUCAGGCUAGAGGCUGAAUCCAAGCUGCAGCUACGACCUGUGCCACAACUGUGGCAACACCAGAUCCUUUAAUCCACUGUACUGGGCUAGGGAUCGAACCCACGCCUCCUUAACAACCCAACCCACUGCAGUCAGAUUCUUAACCCACUGUUCCCCUGCAGGAACUCCUGAGUUUUUGAAUUCUUAAAAUGGCUUAAUUCUAGAAAAUCACAUUUUAUUUUUAAUUUUGUUACGUGCAGUUUACCUGUCAAAUCCCUAAGUCAAUAAAUAAUAGGCUCUCCUUGCAGAAGUGUUAUUAUUCCGACAAAGCCUCCGAGAAAUUUUAGUUACAGAGAUAGCCCAGUUUAUGAGCUUUGUGACUUUCUCUAUCCUUUCUCAUCUAUAUAAGAUGCAGAGAUGAGGUGUUACUGGAAAUACUGCAAGGCAGCUUCCCUGGAGAGUACUUAAAUCCCAUGGUGAGAAGAGACACAGCUAGUAAACACUAAAAGCUAUAAUAUCAGUAAUUGCAGUUGCUCCUGGAAUCAAAGGAUAGAAUAAAAGAAUUAAAUAGAGUUAGGAUUAACAUAAAAGGACUAGAGAGCUAGUGCUUACUGUUUCACUUUUGGAGAGGUGGAGCCUGUGGGAAGUUGAUAAGAAAACUUAACAGUUUGUGAAGUUAUUUAAUGUACUUAAUAUUAGGUUUUGGCGAGAAAGCAGGGACGUGAUGAGAGCAGUCACCCAAGGAAGUGUGAAGGAAAACCAGGUAAACAGAAGUGUUUUCCCAUCACGUCCAUUCCUCUCCGAUGCCAGGAAACCUAGAUUUUAGGAACCACUUUUGUGUAUUUAUCAAGUUUUUUUUUUUCCUACUCCCAGAAGUCUGAUUCAUGAUUUUGUUAAAAGCAAAUUCUAAAACUGUCUUGUUUGAUAUGGUAGCCAGUGGCUGCAUGUGGCUAUUGAAAUGUGAUUAGGCCGUAAGUGUAAAUAUAUACUGGAUUUCAAAGACUUGUUAUGAAAAAAUAAUGUAGCAUAUCUGAUGAUUCUUUAUAUUGAUUCUAUAUUUAAGUGAUAGUAUUUUAGAUCUAUUGGGUUAAAUAAAAUACAUUAUGAACACUAAUAUUUUUUUGGGGGGGUCACACCCACAGCAUAUGGAGGUUCCCAGGCUAGGGGUCUAAUCGGAGCUGCAGCCAUUGGUCUAUGCCACAGCCACAGCAACACCAGAUCCGAGUCAAGGCUGCGACCUACACCACAGCUCAAGGCAACGCCAGAUCCUUAACCCACUGAGCAAGGCCAGGGAUCGAACCCACAACUCAGGGUUCCUAGUUGGAUUUCUUUCCACUGUGCCCCAACAGGAACUCCAUGAACACUAAUUUGACCUGUUUCACCUUUUUAAUGUGACUAUUAGAACAUUUUAAAUUAUGUUAUGAUUCAUAUCAUAUUUCUAUGGAACGUACUGAUUUAGAAGCUCCAUUAGAAAGAGGAUGGACGAUCUCUUUUUCCAGGCUUGAAUUGACCUCUGGCACAUUGUCUUCAUCCAAAGGUUAUAGAAUUUUAAACCAGCAGCCUCUCCAUCCUGCACUCUCUCAUACCACAAAUCAGGGCAAGGAUGCAGAUCGCGUAGCUCAGGGCCACUGGCCUUGAGUUGAAAAAUGUCUAAUGGUGGAUGUCUUACGAAUCUGCAAGGAGGUCCUUUCCAUUCAGGGGCAAUUCUCACUGUGAGAAACCCUUUCUUUACACUGGGAAGAAUAUUGGCUCUCUGUACUUUCAACUUCUUCUGAGGCUUUCUCCUUUAGCAUAAUUAAAAUAAAUCUAGGCGUUCCCAUCGUGGCUCAAUGGAAACAAAUCUAACUAGUAUCCACAAAGACACAGGUUCAAUCCCUGGUCUUGC